rnacentral:rRNA from 1 species
GUGGGGAAUCUUGCGCAAUGGGCGAAAGCCUGACGCAGCCAUGCCGCGUGAAUGAUGAAGGUCUUAGGAUUGUAAAAUUCUUUCACCGGGGACGAUAAUGACGGUACCCGGAGAAGAAGCUCCGGCUAACUUCGUGCCAGCAGCCGCGGUAAUACGAAGGGGGCUAGCUUUGCUCGGAAUUACUGGGCGUAAAGGGCGCGUAGGCGGACAGCUUAGUCAGAGGUGAAAGCCCAGGGCUCAACCUUGGAAUUGCCUUUGAUACUGGCUGUCUUGAGUUUGGGAGAGGUGAGUGGAACUCCGAGUGUAGAGGUGAAAUUCGUAGAUAUUCGGAAGAACACCAGUGGCGAAGGCGACUCACUGGCCCAAUACUGACGCUGAGGCGCGAAAGCGUGGGGAGCAAACAGGAUUAGAUACCCUGGUAGUCC